rnacentral:rRNA from 1 species
CAGCAGUGGGGAAUCUUAGACAAUGGGCGCAAGCCUGAUCUAGCCAUGCCGCGUGAGCGAUGAAGGCCUUAGGGUUGUAAAGCUCUUUCAGGGGGGAAGAUAAUGACGGUACCCCCAGAAGAAGCCCCGGCUAACUCCGUA